GCCCCCUUAGUUAAAUGGCAUAACGAGUCCAUGGUAAGGACUUAUUGUCAGUUCGAUUCUGGCAGGGGGCACCA
rnacentral:tRNA from 1 species